UGAUCCUGGCUCAGAGCGAACGAUGGCGGCAGGCUUAACACAUGCAAGUCGAGCGGGCCCUUCGGGGUCAGCGGCAGACGGGUGAGUAACGCGUGGGAACGUGCCCUUCGGUUCGGAAUAACUCAGGGAAACUCGAGCUAAUACCGGAUACGCCCUUAUGGGGAAAGGCUUGACUGCCGAAGGAUCGGCCCGCGUCUGAUUAGCUGGUUGGUGAGGUUAUGGCUCACCAAGGCGACGAUCAGUAGCUGGUCUGAGAGGAUGAUCAGCCACACUGGGACUGAGACACGGCCCAGACUCCUACGGGAGGCAGCAGAAGGG
rnacentral:rRNA from 1 species